ensembl:lncRNA LINC01515 long intergenic non-protein coding RNA 1515
CUCUUCCUGUGUGGAACCUGGAAUUCAAACGGCUGGGUAGGAAGCACGCUAGCAGGGGCCUCUGGCCUUGCUGAGGGUCCCUGUUUCCCCUUUUCCUUCCUUUUCACCCAACAAAACCCUGCUUUACUCACCCUUCAAACCAUCUAUGAGCCUAAAUUGUCGUGGUCGUGGAAUGGACAAGGACCCAGUCUUUAGCUGAACUAAGGGAAAGUCCUGCUUUUUGGCGCGCAACAGGGGAGCUCAAGAAACAGGCCUCACUCACGGCAUAUGGAACUAACCACGCCCCUAACUAAGAAGGCACACCUUAGUUGCAGUUAGCACACAAUUAAAGCAACUCUCCAAGUUUUACCUUAAAGUUCAAAAUUGCUAGGAGUUGAAACUACUAGAAAUAUAUUUACAUGCAAGAGUCAAAGAAACUUUGAACUAUUUAUGGCCUUUAAUAAUUAAGUAAGGUAUACUCCUGUGAUCAAGACUUGGAGCAUAUUUGUUUCUCUCUGCCUGGUUCCUCUAGAAAUUGGAAACUAUCAGAACAGAGACCAACUCCGUUUCCCGAUCCCUUUGCAAUCUGCAUUGAACCAUGAGUCAAGUUCUUGAUAAAGGAGUGAAAAUGGUAAGUCUAAAGCAAUGAAAAGCUGCUGUAUUGACUACACAUGCCUUCAUUUCUUCUACCCUGCUUCUUUCAUGCCUGCUUAUCUGAAUGACACCAGGAUGACAUUUAAGGCACAUCUGAAGAUGGGGAAACCACAGCACAGAAUAAGGCUGGGCCCUUGAAUCAAUAAAUGAAGGAGAACUACUCAAGAGAACAAAACCACCAGCAAUAUCCACCUGUAUUUGUCUUUUCAUAAUGUGUGACACAUGUGCUCAUGGAUUAUUGUCCGAAGCAAGACAUGUGACCAAGCCUAACAUCAACUGGGUGAAGAGCUAUAUGUUCCUUUCUCAAGAGGCACUACAAGUGACAUGCCACUGGGCAGGAAAACAAAAUCUGAAAUUGAUCUCCAUGUGCAAAACUAAGUCACACCAUCAUCUCUGUAGAAUAUUUAUGUGUGAAUCAACUAGAGGAAUGAACAUCACCUAAAGACAAAACAGGAUCUUUGUAUACAUCUUCUGGGAAGGAGUUGUUAUCAUUUCCACAAGGCCAAUUGCAUCAUUCGGAUAAAAACAUUAUAUUGUUGUCUUUAUUUGGAAGUAAAAUAUAUUUUAAAGAGAUGUGAAUGAUUAUAAAGUUUAUAAUAGGUAUACUGUGAUGACUUUGUCAAACGUUAACUUGACUAGGCUGAAUGAUAUUUCCUAGAAUUCCCUUUCCUUUGUUUUCUAUUAAAGAGGGAAUGUUUUCUGGU